rnacentral:rRNA from 1 species
AAUAAUAUAUAAUCUGGUCUAAUCUAAUUUUAUAAACGUGAUUGUUAAGAAAAAUUGAACCCAUCGAAUUAAAUUGAGUAACAUCUCAAAAGUCAUAGCAAGGUAGCCGUACUGGAAGGUGCUGCUG